CACAGGAAGACGUUCAUCAAACAUCUUCUCCAUGGCCUCCACUAGUGAGUUUUGUAGUUGGCGUAACUCAGCCCACGAAACUGAUGUUUCUUUUUCUCUAUAUCGACCACCACGAACGCUCAAAUUGGAUCCUGGCAUGUUAGCACUUAUGCAAGAUAUAGUGGAAGGGUAAAUUUGUGGAAUCACACAAUCUCACCUCUUACUUACCAAUGCUCUUUCCUGUUCUCAAGGACAGUGAAUUGUGCUAGUGUAGCAGCUCAAAAGAAGUGAUUCCGAGGUCGCAAGGAUUAUGAGUCAAAUGUCCUUGUUUCAAUUUUUGGUGGAGCUAUAGGUGGCUAAACAAGAGAGGCUACGGUACUAAAAAUCAAGUGAUUUGAUGUGCUCAAAAGGUAUAAUGUUGCUGGUAUAUAAAUCCCCAAGAAUCCGAAUAUGUAAACUGAAUUUUCAGUAAGUAAACCGCAAUACAACCCCCUUUCCUCUUCUUCUAUUUUUCUGUUCUUUAUCUUUUCUUUUCUCUUAAUUUUUUUGUUUCUGAUUUUUUGAACUCUUUUUUAUACUAACAGGGGUGCAGAUAACAAAUGAAACAUGUAUAUGUAAAGAGGGUGACUAGCAACUUGAUGAACACAAAAACACAAGAUAACAGUACCGCCAAAGGGCUUUAGGUUUUUUUGUGGCUUUUUCAGUGGACUAUAGGUGAUGAACAAAACAGUAACAAACGAUAGAUAAACUAAAAGUAGAUAUAUGGAUGAUUGUGAGACCUACCGUCACAACUAAAGCUGUGAUACCAGUUGAUAGGCUACCGAUAUG
rnacentral:lncRNA from 1 species